GGCGAACGCUGGCGGCGUGCUUAACACAUGCAAGUCGAACGAAGAGCGAUGGAAGCUUGCUUCUAUCAAUCUUAGUGGCGAACGGGUGAGUAACGCGUAAUCAACCUGCCCUUCAGAGGGGGACAACAGUUGGAAACGACUGCUAAUACCGCAUACGAUCUAAUCUCGGCAUCGAGGAUAGAUGAAAGGUGGCCUCUACAUGUAAGCUAUCACUGAAGGAGGGGAUUGCGUCUGCUUAGCUAGUUGGAGGGGUAACGGCCCACCAAGGCGAUGAUCAGUAGCCGGUCUGGGAGGAUGAACGGCCACAUUGGGACUGAGACACGGCCCAGACUCCUACGGGAGGCAGCAGUGGGGAAUCUUCCGCAAUGGACGAAAGUCUGACGGAGCAACGCCGCGUGAGUGAUGACGGCCUUCGGGUUGUAAAGCUCUGUUAAUCGGGACGAAAGGCCUUCUUGCGAAUAGUGAGAAGGAUUGACGGUACCGGAAUAGAAAGCCACGGCUAACUACGUG
rnacentral:rRNA from 1 species